rnacentral:rRNA from 1 species
UACGAAGGGGGCUAGCGUUGCUCGGAAUCACUGGGCGUAAAGCGCACGUAGGCGGACUCUUAAGUCGGUGGUGAAAUCCUAGAGCUCAACUCCAGAACUGCCUUCGAUACUGAGAGUCUCGAGUCCGGGAGAGGUGAGUGGAACUGCGAGUGUAGAGGUGAAAUUCGUAGAUAUUCGCAAGAACACCAGUGGCGAAGGCGGCUCACUGGCCCGGUACUGACGCUGAGGUGCGAAAGCGUGGGGAGCAAACAGG